AGUAAAUUCAUUUCCCAUUCAAACUUGUUUUUUUUCUUCUUCUGCAAUAACAAACCAAUCAUGUCAGCAGUCAACAAUUUUGCUACUCAUAUCCUCUCUUCUUCCUCAAAAAGAUCCUUUCAAGAAUCCAGAAAGACUCAAACUUUAUCCAUCAACUUUUCUCCAACUUUCACCAUACAUAAUAUACCAAAAACCCCAUCAAGAACAAGUCUUGUUUGUUCAAUAAAUGCUGUGACAGAAGAUAAAGAAGCAGAGGCCAACCAAGAAAAUGAAAAGAAAGAAUCAAAUGGAACUGAAAUUGAAGAAAAAAUCAAGAAUAGCUUCUUGUACAUUUUGUUGGAUAAAGAUAGGUUUUUUAAUGCUUCAAUUGUGCUUGGUGCUGGUACACUUGCUGUCACAAGGUUACUCACCAUAGAUCAUGAGUAUUGGCAUGGAUGGACCCUUUACGAGAUACUGAGGUAUGCCCCGGAGCACAACUGGAUUGCAUAUGAAGAAGCGCUGAAAGCAAAUCCUGUGUUGGCUAAAAUGGCGAUUAGUGGUAUUGUCUACUCUGUAGGAGACUGGACCGCUCAAUGCUAUGAAGGAAAGCCUCUUCUUGAAUUUGACCGGACUCGCAUGUUUAGAUCUGGUCUUGUUGGAUUUUCACUUCAUGGUUCCCUUUCCCACUACUAUUACCAAUUUUGUGAGGCUCUUUUCCCGUCCAACGAUUGGUGGGUGGUUCCAGCUAAAGUUGCUUUUGACCAAACCAUUUGGUCAGCAAUUUGGAAUAGCAUCUAUUUUGUUGUCCUUGGUUUCUUGCGUCUCGAAUCUGCAUCCAAUAUUUUUGGCGAACUUAGAGCCACGUUUUUGCCCAUGUUAACAUUACUCAAAUGAGAAAUCAGAGGCGCGGAUAUCUGAAGAAUCAUCAGAAGCUAAAUCUGAUUCAUCAUCGAGUAAAUUGCCCGAGGAUUAAUCAAGCUACACAACUUAACAGAUUCGUAAGUUUUAUUAUCAAGUUAUAGUAAAUAAUUAGCCAGCCUUUGAGAAACCUAUUUAUUUAGGAAAUUAAAAGUGUGUGUAUAUAUAUAUAUAGCCUGUAUGUACUCUCCUUGGCCUUAUCCCUUGGUGAAUGAAGGAAGAUAUAAAAAGAGGAGUUUAGUGUAACAUAACUCAGUCAAAAGCAUAUUCAUCAUCUAUACAAAUUUAUCUUGAUGCUGUUUCAGCUUGUUA